AGAGUUUGAUCAUGGCUCAGGAUGAACGCUGGCGGUAUGCCUUACACAUGCAAGUCGUACGAGAGUUUUUAACUCAAGUGGCGGACGGGUGAGUAACACGUAAGAAUUUGCCUCUAGGAGGGGGAUAACAACUGGAAACGGUUGCUAAUACCCCAUAUGCUUUCGAGUGAAAUGGAUUUCCGCCUAGAGAGAAGCUUGCGGCUGAUUAGCUUGUUGGUGAGGUAAUGGCUCACCAAGGCGACGAUCAGUAUCUGGUUUGAGAGGACGAUCAGACACACUGGAACUGAGACACGGUCCAGACUCCUACGGGAGGCAGCAGUGGGGAAUUUUCCGCAAUGGGCGAAAGCCUGACGGAGCAAUACCGCGUGAGGGAUGACGGCCUAUGGGUUGUAAACCUCUUUUCUCAGGGAGGAAUCAAUGACGUGUACCUGAGGAAUAAGCAUCGGCUAACUCCGUGCCAGCAGCCGCGGUAAGACGGAGGAUGCAAGUGUUAUCCGGAAUCACUGGGCGUAAAGCGUCUGUAGGUGGUCAAAUAAGUCAACUGUUAAAUCUUGAGGCUCAACCUCAAAAUCGCAGUCGAAACUAUUAGACUAGAGUAUAGUAGGGGUAAAGGGAAUUUCCAGUGGAGCGGUGAAAUGCGUAGAGAUUGGAAAGAACACCGAUGGCGAAGGC
rnacentral:rRNA from 1 species